GAUGAACGCUGGCGGCGUGCCUAAUACAUGCAAGUCGAGCGAACAGAUGAGGAGCUUGCUCCUCUGACGUUAGCGGCGGACGGGUGAGUAACACGUGGAUAACCUACCUAUAAGACUGGGAUAACUUCGGGAAACCGGAGCUAAUACCGGAUAAUAUAUUGAACCGCAUGGUUCAAUAGUGAAAGACGGUUUUGCUGUCACUUAUAGAUGGAUCCGCGCCGCAUUAGCUAGUUGGUACGGUAACGGCUUACCAAGGCAACGAUGCGUAGCCGACCUGAGAGGGGGAUCGGCCACACUGGAACUGAGACACGGUCCAGACUCCUACGGGAGGCAGCAGUAGGGAAUCGUACGCAAUGGGCGAAAGCCUGACGGAGCAACGCCGCGUGAGUGAUGAAGGUCUUCGGAUCGUAAAGCUCUGUUAUUAGGGAAGAACAAAUGUGUAAGUAACUAUGCACGUCGUGACGGUACCUAAUCAGAAAGCCACGGCUAACUACGUG
rnacentral:rRNA from 1 species